rnacentral:misc_RNA from 1 species
AACGGUCUAUACCUGCGGUACCUGCGGAAGGAUCAUUACAGAGUGUUCUACCCCCUUGUAAAAUGGUGGGUUUAACCUCCCGUCCUUUGCCAGACCCCCCCUUUCGUUGGGGGGCCUUUCAAACCUUUCUGCUUCGGCGGGGUUACCCGUCGGAACACCCUCAAAAAUUCUUGGUCAAAACUGUUCGGUCCGAGAAACUUAUGAAAAUUGAAGCAAAACUUUCAACAACGGAUCUCUAGA